GGCUUAUCUCCCCCAAGAGUCCACAUCGACGGGGAGGUUUGGCACCUCGAUGUCGGCUCAUCGCAUCCUGGGGCUGUAGUCGGUCCCAAGGGUUGGGCUGUUCGCCCAUUAAAGCGGUACGCGAGCUGGGUUCAGAACGUCGUGAGACAGUUCGGUCCCUAUCCGUCGUGGGCGUAGGAAAUUUGAGAGGAGCUGUCCUUAGUACGAGAGGACCGGGAUGGACACACCGCUGGUGUACCAGUUGUCUUGCCAAAGGCAUCGCUGGGUAGCUAUGUGUGGACGGGAUAAGUGCUGAAAGCAUCUAAGCAUGAAGCCCCCCUCAAGAUGAGAUUUCCCAUAGCGCAAGCUAGUAAGAUCCCUGAAAGAUGAUCAGGUUGAUAGGUCAGAGGUGGAAGCGUGGCGACAUGUGUAGCUGACUGAUACU
rnacentral:rRNA from 1 species